rnacentral:rRNA from 1 species
UACGUAGGGGGCAAGCGUUGUCCGGAAUCAUUGGGCGUAAAGAGCGUGUAGGCGGUUCGGUAAGUCGGCUGUGAAAGUCCAGGGCUCAACCCUGGGAUGCCGGUCGAUACUGCCGGACUAGAGUUCGGAAGAGGCGAGUGGAAUUCCCGGUGUAGCGGUGAAAUGCGCAGAUAUCAGGAGGAACACCGGUGGCGAAGGCGGCUUGCUGGGCCUUACCUGACGCUGAGGAGCGAAAGCGUGGGGAGCGAACAGG